CCUUGGAGACCGAGACGCUGGCGAAAGCAUCAGGUCUCCGGACCUUUGAGUGGCCUGGGUUACUGCGCGAUCUACACUGAGACAAGGAAGUUGGAAAAGCCGAGUAGUUAUUCUAGAAGAUCAGUGUCUCACAGACUCGCAGCUUCUCUUCCAUUUUCCCCAAUGGCGCAUGUCUUACAAAAAUCCAACCACUCUGGGACUCACUCCACAGUCUACGAGUUCCAGGUUUCGGAUUAUGUUCCAUGGCAGCAGUCCAAGCAGGAAACCAAGCCAUCUACUCUGCCUCCAGUCCAACAAGCCAACAGCCUUCAUAUAAGCAAAAUGAAGAAUUUGACUAGGGUCCAACCAGUGUUCCACUCCAAGCCCACUGGAGUGGUGACAAGCCACCAGCCGAAGAAUCCACGAGAACUACAUAGAAGGCGGAAGUUGGACCCUGGGAAGAUGCAGGCCAAAAUCCGGUUAAUGAAGAUGAUGCUCAGGAACGGGAGGACCGCUCUGCGAGAGCUCCAAAGCCAUGAGAACUUCCUCACCAAGCUCAACGAGGAGCUGAUCGAGACCAUCCAGGACAUGGAGAACAGCACGACCCUGAACGUGCGGGCCCUGCUGCAGCAGCAGGACAUCCUAGCGACCAUCAUCGACAUCUUGGAGUAUUCAAACAAGAAGAGGCUGCAGCAAUUGAAGUCUGAGCUUCAGGAGUGGGAAGAAAAGAAGAAAUGCAAGAUGAGCUCUCUAGAGCAGCAGGCGGAGCAGCUGAAUGCCAAGAUUGAGAAGACCCAGGAGGAAGUGAACUUCCUGAGCACUUACAUGGACCAUGAGUAUUCCAUCAAGUCUGUCCAGAUCUCCACCCUUGUGCGCCAGCUGCAGCAGGAUAAGGACAGUCAGCAGGAUGAGCUGGAUGACCUCAGUGAGAUGCGCAGAAAGGUCCUGGAAUCCUUGUCUGACAAGAUUCAGAAGAAGAAGAAAAAAAUUCUGAGUUCUGUGGUGGCAAAAACCCAGCGUCCCUAUGAGAAGGCUCUCCUACAGAAGAUAUGGGAAAGCCAAGACUUCCUGAAAUGCAUGCAAAGGUUCAGAGAAUUUAUUGACCAGUUUGAGGAGAACAUGCCCGUAUUAAGGGCCGAGGUGGAAGAGCUCCAAGCCCAGACCCGGGAACCCCGAGAGGUCGUGUUUGAGGAUGUUCUGCUUCGGAAACCCAAGAGGUCGUGGCCAAAGGCCUACCCCACUGCAAUGAAGACGUGUCUGAAUGAAGACCUGGGGUAGGAGCGGAGAUGUGUGUGAGAGGUCGACUGUCCAGGAGGCUUGAGUCUGUGCCUGCAACUGUCUUUAAAGACUGCAAUGCAUCCGCUGUGCACAACCCAGCUGUGAGGCCUGCCAGAAAAUCGAGAAAUCUUCUCAGCCACCUAGAGAUGAUUUCCUUUGUAUCCCACCAGAUGGUUCAACUCUUCUACAAAUGGAUCAAAGCCUUGUUCUUUUAAACAACAUAGUCCCCAGAAAAACUGGUCCAGAGGAGGAAAUUCUUCCCAAGGAACCCACUCCCAACUUUCAUUUUUUUCAGAGUCUAUAUUCUUUCGUUCUGAAUCAUGAGUCACAUCCACUUCUCCUUUCAUUAAUAUAGUAACAGAAUGGUAAUUCUCCUUCUCAAUGAAAGAAUUCACAACUGAGGCAAAGCGAACAUUUUUCAGGUGAAGAGCUGCUUUUUCCCAGGUUUCCCUUUGAGCACAUUCUUCUCAGGUCUCACAGAAUUCCAGAUGACCUCCAGGGAGUUGGAAACUGCCGACUCCAACCGAGCCUUUCCUCUUCCCGAGGAGGACGCAACACGGAUGCUUGCAGCUGGUCACCAUGACUCUGACUCCGGGCACGGCUCCCGCAGCUCUGUGCUGGCCGUCAUAGUGCGUGGAAGCCCGGCCAGUAAUUUCUAUUCUGCUUUCUGUCUCUGUGAAUUUGCCAAUACUAAGUACCUCAUAUAAGUAAAAUUAUACAAAUUUCC